rnacentral:lncRNA from 1 species
GCCCGGAAGAGUGGUCUAGAGUCAAAUCUCCAUCGGAGGAAGAGCACUGUCGCCGAUCCUACUCCCUCAAGCUCCAAUGGAAGGAUGAUCAAGGCAAAAAAGUAGGAGUAGAGUGGAGACACUGUCGGGAGGUAGGCUCUAGACUCUAUGGCUAUGCUAAGAAGGAGCCACUUAAGGGAUUGACUCUGGACACUGCUGCUACUCCACCAUCUGCUG